ACUGUAUAUAUAUAUAUACACACACACACACACACACACACACACACACACUGUCUCUGUGUGUGUGUGUAUAUAUAUAUAUUCUGUUU